CGUAGUCUGAUCCGGCAAGGUGCCUGCGGUUCUGCCGCGGGAGAAUUGGGAAGCCGGUGAAAGACCGGCGCUGCCCCCGCAACGGUAUGGCCGGGGGAUGUGGUCAGUACCACUGGGCGUCACGCCCGGGAAGGGGCCGCAUCCGCAAUCCCGCCGAGCCCGGAAACCAGCCUUCGCAGUGACGUCAAA
rnacentral:ncRNA from 2 species